CCUGGCUGCAUCAGGCUUUCUAAGCAUUGACUGUGGAUGUGCGUGCAGCCGCACCCUCUCCUGGAAUUCCUAUUGGUCUCCUCCUUGUCCUAAGCUGCUGCUCAGAAGCUCACCGUAAAGGAAACUAUGUUGCUGCCAUUUGACGUCAAAGCGCAUCGAUAACUGAUUCAGUAAUUGGCAACUACUCCUCUAUCAAUGUGUAUGCACAUGGAGACUUGGACUGUCAGAUAAGGGCAGAACGCCAACAACCAAGGCAAGAAGAAUGUGAAAAAGGAUUCAGUAUGUUCAAGAACCCCAAGCCUGAAUCGGAGAUGAGAAAGUGACCACAUCAAAAUGGAGAGAAAAGUAAAAGAUUGCUUCUGAAGAACCCAAAUGAAUGACAAAUGAUAACAGAACUUAAAUGGCAAAUCAAUACAA
rnacentral:lncRNA from 1 species